rnacentral:rRNA from 1 species
GGGCCCGCACAAGCAGUGGAGCAUGUGGUUUAAUUCGAUGCAACGCGAAGAACCUUACCAGGGUUUGACAUCCUGCGAAUCUCUUGGAAACGAGAGAGUGCCUUCGGGAGCGCAGUGACAGGUGGUGCAUGGCUGUCGUCAGCUCGUGUCGUGAGAUGUUGGGUUAAGUCCCGCAACGAGCGCAACCCACGUCUUUAGUUGCCAGCAUUUAGUUGGGCACUCUAGAGAGACUGCCGGUGAUAAACCGGAGGAAGGUGUGGAUGACGUCAAGUCAUCAUGCCCCUUACAUCCUGGGCUACACACGUGCUACAAUGGCGCAUACAGAGGGCAGCAAGCUAGCGAUAGUGAG